UUAUAUGUCUUCAUAAAAUCAACCACAGAAACAUACAAAGAAAUCUAAAGUUCAAAGUUCUUCAGAUCUAAGGGAUAAUCCUUAAUCUACUUUUAAUGUUUCAUGAUGCUAGCUGGACUGAUUCUCAUCCUCUAAUCACAUAGAUGUAAUGCUCAUGAUGACAAGUUGCUGGCAAUAGAGAUUACUACUAUGCACCUCUCCCCUCUUGCUGGAGAAACGUAGUCCAAUAAUUCCACAGGCCAAUGCCUACAAAGACUGCCUACUUAUACAUGACAGCCAGUUAUUCAUGUCAUUUUGAGAAAGUCUCUAAAGAUCGCUUCACAGUGCUUUCUAAGGUAGUAAAAAUCUCAAUAUAAAUUAAAAAUGAGGGGGUCCUUUAACAGGCACAAAUGAUCACUUUAUUGUAAAUAUGUAAUCAAUAAAAACGUAGAAUACUUAGGAGUCUAUGAACAUACUUAGGAGUCUAUGAACAGCUAGUAUGAAGUAUCUUUAGGCAAAAGAACUCAAAGUGAAAUAAUCACAACCCUUUAAAAUGUCAAUUCUACUUUGUAAAAUUUUCAUGAUUGUAUCUUGCCUACAUAGGAUCAGAAGAUUUCAGAGCAGGAGAUCUAGAGAUAACCUAAGGUCAAAUGGCCCAGAUAUAUUAAGUGACCUGCCCAUGAUCACACAGUUGAACUAACAAGAAGAAGAAACAGAAAUGGCCAAACCUUUUCUCUGAAGAUAUGGGCGUGUAGACUUCAAUACCGAAAGGAAUAUUGACAGAAGUUCUACUAAGUCUCCAGUCACAUGGCAAGCUGUGGCUUCAUGAUACAUCAUGUGCAGUGUGUUGAAAGACUACAAAUGAUUCAAAAGAAUGGAAAACUUCAUUUUCAUUUUGACUUUAUUGAGCCACAAAACUGUAGUGCUCAUCCUCUAGAUAGAUGUUUUCAGACUCAGACUAUGCAUAUGUAUAUGAACACAAAGCAAAUCUAUUUGCUUUUUAUCUAAGUCAAAUUUUCUCGUUCACCUCUUUUUUAAUAUA